UCUCAACUCCUUGUUUACAUCUCAGCUUGAUGUUGCUGACUGAAGCUUGUAUGCUUGGACAAGAAAAAUUCAGGAAAAACAUUUUUACUGGGAAAAAAAACACUUAGGACAUGCAUAAAGAUGUUGAACCAGUGUCCAUUUAUUCUGUUGCAUCGAGAUUGAACUCUCUGGCCAACAUCAACAUCAGUGGGACACUAUAAGCAGGAGAUAACAUAUAUGAUGUUAAUGGAGGAGACAAGUGAAUGAACCCCAGAUGUUAUACUUUGUAUUUCUUGGUCCAGUGAUGACAUGGCCGAAUUGGCAUCUGGCUCUGUAUCAAGACCUGAUGUGUUGGUAAGAAUUAGAAUUGGGUAGUCUGCUGCUGGCAAGACAGCAUGUGAGGUUGUGGGAGUGGGGUGCCUUUUAGCUAGAAUAGGCUUGACCACUAAAGCUAAUAACAAUGAUGAUGGGAGAAAUUCUGUUGUUAUGGGAUUAGUAGGUAACAGGUCAGAGUGGAGUCUGAGUCUGGCCCUGUUGAUCUGAGUGGUGAUGGUUUGGGGAUUGUAAGUGUAGGAGAUAUUCCUUUGUAAUAACCUCUGUAAUAUCUUUGUAAGUGUAGGAGACCCUGUUGUAGAUCCCUGAGGUAUGCAGGCUGGUCAGUGGGAUGAGAGCAGAUAUGUUUGUAACAUAGGGUUUGGUUGUAAAUAGUUGUGUCCUUAGGAUAAAAGCUGGUGGUAUGGAGGUAGCUACAGCAGUUAGUGGCCAUACAAAGUUUCAUAGCACUGUCUAAGAAAUUACUUUUCUGGGUGCAGUGUUCAAGGGUUCUUUUGGAGGGGUGGAGAUUGUUAAAGUCCUAAUAGAAUUUCUCCAGAAACUCCCUCCCAUGUGUUCACAUGAUGAAGAAUAUUAUUAAUGUACCUCAGGUGUACUUGGGGGAUCAGAGAGUAGCUGCAGAGGAAGGGGACUUAGAUAGCCAUCAUAAAUAUAUUGGAAUAUUUGCAUGGGUAGGAAGGCAGAAGGGUUGGGGGCAGCAUUGCCAGAUAUACAAUAAUUAUUGCAUUUGUAUAAUAAUUUCAACCCCUGUACAACGCAUGAUAGCUAAUACUAAAAGUGUUCAAAAUGUACAAUAAUUUUAAGGCAGUUAAUUGAUGCAGCUUAUGUAAAACCCGAGUCACUCUCAGGGAGUCUUAACCAACUUGGGUUUUGCUGUCAGUACUUUCUUAUGACUGCUUGCCUCAAAAUAAAGAAAUGCUUCAACUUUGAA